GUGUCGGGGUGCAUCCCACCGCCUUCAGGUGUCAGGGUCAAGGGUGGGUACCGACGAAAGCGAUGAAAAAUACUUUAAAUCCCACGGUAGCGAAACGACUGGAUGCCGGGAGUGUGGUUAGCUGUUUCUCUUUCGGUCACGAGACUGCUGACAGCACAUAGUUCCCAUUUUCCGGCGUAGCCUGGCCUAGCUUCAGCCUUGGCAGAAGUUUAAUCAUUCGGAAUAAGCCAAAACAACUGCAGAGGUAAAAUGGGCCUUUACUGUAAACAAAACAGAUACACAGCUGUCAGGCAUGAGGACACUGUCAACAAAUGUGACAAAAGAGACGAGUGACAGAAGAGGGACAUAAACACCGGCUGCGAGCGAAUGUAUCC